CCUACGGGGGGCAGCAGUGAGGAAUAUUGGUCAAUGGACGAGAGUCUGAACCAACCAAGUAGCGUGAAGGAUGACUGCCCUAUGGGUUGUAAACUUCUUUUAUAUGGGAGUAAAAUGUUCCACGUGUGGGAUUUUGUAUGUACCAUAUGAAUAAGGAUCGGCUAACUCCGUGCCAGCAGCCGCGGUAAUACGGGGGCUCCGAUGGUUAUCCGGAUUUGUGGGGUUAAAGGGGAGCGUAGGGGGAUUGUGAAGUAAGUUUGGAAGGGUCGGGGCUCAACUCAAUCCAGCAGUUGAAACUGGGGAUCUAGAGUGUGCGAGAGGGAGGUGGAAUGCGUGGUGUAGCGGUGAAAUGCAUAGAGAUCACGAAGAACACCGAUGGCGAAGGCAGCACCCCGGUGCACAACUGACGCUCAGGUACGAAAGCGUGGGUAUCGAACAGGAUUAGAUACCCGGGUAGUC
rnacentral:rRNA from 1 species